rnacentral:rRNA from 1 species
GAUGAACGCUGGCGGCGUGCCUAAUGCAUGCAAGUCGAGCGAACAGACGAGGAGCUUGCUCCUCUGACGUUAGCGGCGGACGGGUGAGUAACACGUGGAUAACCUACCUAUAAGACUGGGAUAACUUCGGGAAACCGGAGCUAAUACCGGAUAAUAUAUUGAACCGCAUGGUUCAAUAGUGAAAGACGGUUUUGCUGUCACUUAUAGAUGGAACCGCGCCGCAUUAGCUAGUUGGUAAGGUAACGGCUUACCAAGGCAACGAUGCGUAGCCGACCUGAGAGGGUGAUCGGCCACACUGGAACUGAGACACGGUCCAGACUCCUACGGGAGGCAGCAGUAGGGAAUCUUCCGCAAUGGGCGAAAGCCUGACGGAGCAACGCCGCGUGAGUGAUGAAGGUCUUCGGAUCGUAAAACUCUGUUAUUAGGGAAGAACAAAUGUGUAAGUAACUAUGCACGUCUUGACGGUACCUAAUCAGAAAGCCACGGCUAACUACGUG